rnacentral:rRNA from 1 species
UGCCAGCAGCCGCGGUAAUACGUAGGGACCGAGCGUUGUCCGGAUUUAUUGGGCGUAAAGCGCGCGUAGGCGGUUGUAUAAGUCAGAUGUGAAAGUCCAUGGCUCAACCAUGGAAGUGCAUUUGAAACUGUAUAACUUGAGUACUGGAGGGGGUGGUGGAAUUCCCGGUGUAGAGGUGAAAUUCGUAGAUAUCGGGAGGAAUACCGGUGGCGAAGGCGACCACCUGGCCAAAUACUGACGCUGAGGUGCGAAAGCGUGGGGAGCAAACAGGAUUAGAUA